rnacentral:rRNA from 1 species
UAAUACUCCAUAGAAUAAGGAAUCUGGAAAGAACAAUAGUCAAAAGUUCCGGCGCAAAAGGAACGGUCUGCGGCCAAUCAGAUCGUAGUGGGUGUAACGAACCUAAUAGCCUAAGACGGGUAUGGGCCUUGAGAGAGGGAGCCCAGAGUUGGAUUCUGAGACACGAAUCCAGGCCAUACGGGGCGCAGCAGUCGCGAAAACUUCACAAUGGGGGCAACCCCGAUGAGGGAAUUCCUAGUGCUAGCACAUUUGUGUUAGCUUUUCUCUAGCGUAGAUAACUAGAGGAAUAAGGGCUGGGAAAGACGGGUGCCAGCCGCCGCGGUAAUACCUGCAGCCCAAGUGAUGGUCGAUUUUAUUGAGUCUAAAACGUUCGUAGCCGGUUCGAUAAAUCUUUGGGUAAAUCGGGGGGCUUAACCUUCCGUCUUCCGAGGAGACUGUCGAACUUGGGACCGGGAGAGGCUAGAGGUACUUCUGGGGUAGGGGUAAAAUCCUGUAAUCCUAGAAGGACCACCGGUGGCGAAGGCGUCUAGCUAGAACGGAUCCGACGGUGAGGGACGAAGCCCUGGGUCGCAAACGGGAUUAGAUACCCCGGUAGUCCAGGGUGUAAACGCUGCAGACUUGGUGU